rnacentral:snRNA from 15 species
AAAAAGGGUGCUUGCUACUUUAUAGCACAUGAGGCUAACCGCCUCGUGGGGUAUGGCAAUCAAGACAUACCCAGCACAUAAUUUUUGGCCACGUGGAGCUGUUUCUUGGCAUUGUUCCAGAGGCGCUCCC